rnacentral:rRNA from 1 species
AUUGAACGCUGGCGGAAUGCUUUACACAUGCAAGUCGAACGGCAGCACGGACUUCGGUCUGGUGGCGAGUGGCGAACGGGUGAGUAAUGUAUCGGAACGUGCCCAGUCGUGGGGGAUAACGUAGUGAAAAUUACGCUAAUACCGCAUACGAUCUAUGGAUGAAAGCGGGGGAUCGCAAGACCUCGCGCGAUUGGAGCGGCCGAUAUCAGAUUAGGUAGUUGGUGGGGUAAAGGCCCACCAAGCCAACGAUCUGUAGCUGGUCUGAGAGGACGACCAGCCACACUGGAACUGAGACACGGUCCAGACUCCUACGGGAGGCAGCAGUGGGGAAUUUUGGACAAUGGGCGAAGGCCUGAUUCAGCCAUUCCGCGUGCAGGAUGAAGGCCCUCGGGUUGUAAACUGCUUUUGUACAGAACGAAAAGGUUUCUACUAAUACUAGGAGCUCAUGACGGUACUGUGAGAAUAAGCACCGGCUAACUACGUGCCAGCCGCCGCCGUAA